rnacentral:rRNA from 1 species
GUCUACAGCCAUGCCACCCUGAACACGCCCAAUCUUGUCUGAUCUCAAAAGCUAAGCAGGGUCGAGCCUGGUUAGUAUUUGGAUGGGAGACCACCUAGGAAUACUAGGUGCCAUAGGCU